rnacentral:rRNA from 1 species
CGAACGGUAACAGGAAACAGCUUGCUGUUUCGCUGACGAGUGGCGGACGGGUGAGUAAUGUCUGGGAAACUGCCUGAUGGAGGGGGAUAACUACUGGAAACGGUAGCUAAUACCGCAUAACGUCGCAAGACCAAAGAGGGGGACCCUCGGGCCUCUUGCCAUCGGAUGUGCCCAGAUGGGAUUAGCUUGUUGGUGGGGUAACGGCUCACCAAGGCGACGAUCCCUAGCUGGUCUGAGAGGAUGACCAGCCACACUGGAACUGAGACACGGUCCAGACUCCUACGGGAGGCAGCAGUGGGGAAUAUUGCACAAUGGGCGCAAGCCUGAUGCAGCCAUGCCGCGUGUAUGAAGAAGGCCUUCGGGUUGUAAAGUACUUUCAGCGGGGAGGAAGGGAGUAAAGUUAAUACCUUUGCUCAUUGACGUUACCCGCAGAAGAAGCACCGGCUAACUCCGUGCCAGCAGCCGCGGUAAUACGGAGGGUGCAAGCGUUAAUCGGAAUUACUGGGCGUAAAGCGCACGCAGGCGGUUUGUUAAGUCAGAUGUGAAAUCCCCGGGCUCAACCUGGGAACUGCAUCUGAUACUGGCAAGCUUGAGUCUCGUAGAGGGGGGUAGAAUUCCAGGUGUAGCGGUGAAAUGCGUAGAGAUCUGGAGGAAUACCGGUGGCGAAGGCGGCCCCCUGGACGAAGACUGACGCUCAGGUGCGAAAGCGUGGGGAGCAAACAGGAUUAGAUACCCUGGUAGUCCACGCCGUAAACGAUGUCGACUUGGAGGUUGUGCCCUUGAGGCGUGGCUUCCGGAGCUAACGCGUUAAGUCGACCGCCUGGGGAGUACGGCCGCAAGGUUAAAACUCAAAUGAAUUGACGGGGGCCCGCACAAGCGGUGAGCAUGUGGUUUAAUUCGAUGCAACGCGAAGAACCUUACCUGGUCUUGACAUCCACGGAAGUUUUCAGAGAUGAGAAUGUGCCUUCGGGAACCGUGAGACAGGUGCUGCAUGGCUGUCGUCAGCUCGUGUUGUGAAAUGUUGGGUUAAGUCCCGCAACGAGCGCAACCCUUAUCCUUUGUUGCCAGCGGUCCGGCCGGGAACUCAAAGGAGACUGCCAGUGAUAAACUGGAGGAAGGUGGGGAUGACGUCAAGUCAUCAUGGCCCUUACGACCAGGGCUACACACGUGCUACAAUGGCGCAUACAAAGAGAAGCGACCUCGCGAGAGCAAGCGGACCUCAUAAAGUGCGUCGUAGUCCGGAUUGGAGUCUGCAACUCGACUCCAUGAAGUCGGAAUCGCUAGUAAUCGUGGAUCAGAAUGCCACGGUGAAUACGUUCCCGGGCCUUGUACACACCGCCCGUCACACCAUGGGAGUGGGUUGCAAAAGAAGUAGGUAGCUUAACCUUCGGGAGGGCGCUUACCACUUUGUGAUUCAUGACUGGGGUGAAGUCGUAACAAGGUA